ACGAGUUUUGAAACGAGUUGUAGCUGGCCUUCCGAGGCAUGUGCACGCUCUGCUCAUCCACUCUACCCCUGUGCACUUACUGUAGGUUGGCGUGGGCUCCUUAGCGGGAGCAUUCUGCCGGCCUAUGUAUACUACAAACACUUUAAAGUAUCCGAAUGUAAACGCGUCUAACGCAUCUAUAAUA
rnacentral:misc_RNA from 1 species